GUUUACGGAGAGUGGGUUGGAACUUGAUGAUGAGGGUUGGAGUUCAAUUGUCUUUAAGGUCCCUUUCAACCUAAGCUGUUCUAUGAUUCUGUGAGAGAACAAGAUGAAAUGCUUGGGAGAUGAGUUUCCCGUGUGUUCACCCAUCUCCUUGAUUUGCUUCUCAACUGUUUGUGGUAGAGCCUGUUAUUCUCAGUGUCAACAAUCAUCAAGGUUCAAGGUGACGUGAAUGAUAUCAGUUGGAAAGUACAGUAGGUGCUGCUGUCCUACAUAAAAAAAACAGAACUGGAACUAAGGAGGCAUUUCCAGUGUGCAAGAGGAGGCAAAGGCACUGGGGACUUUCGGCUUAGAUUCAGCAAGAUGCGUCUUAUACUUCACGUAGAACUUUGACUUCAGUAAGACAACCUCCGUGCUUCACACUGGACAUAUAAGGACCUCUCUGCAGGCACUGGAGCUACAGUUGUACAAACUCAGAAUUUCAGUAUGAAGGCCAGAGGUAAAAAUUUAGGAUUAAGAGAAGGUAGCUAUGUGCUCUGUUGCAGAAGAAGUAGGCAUUACUGUAGACAAUAAUCCAAUAGCCCACAUUUCUGCAACAAACUCUGAUCUCAUGUGCACUUCAGAGCAUCUUUCAAGAGUGCAAACAGUUUUUGAAACUAGAUUUCACUGCUCCCUGUGAGGAGGAAAGCUUAUGGCCAUGACCUCACAAAUUAUAAAUAGAUUUCAAUGGAAGCAGAGGGCUAAGCAUAGAGUUGCCAUCCAAGGUGUAAUUUAAACUUUUGCUGAUGCUGACAGAGGCUGCUUCCAUUGGGACUUCUUCGGGUGGCACCAAUUUGUUCAUCCAUAUGGGAACAGCAGGGAAGGAGAGGAAUGCUUCACUGUAACUUAUAGAAGGCAAAAUGGAAAGAUGUUUGAGUGCCAUCAUGGGGGUGAAUUUAUUAUAUAUAUAUACACUUAAAAUUUACCUCUUUGUGAAACUGAUGUCAGUGUCAGCUCUUUCAGAUAUGGAGGAAAUUUACACAAAGAAGAUGCUUCCUUCUAUCACAAGUUCACUCUCCGUUCUGGCAACACUGCUUUCACUUGGUGAAAGUAGAUCAGAAUUCACCAUGUUAAUAAAAAAUAUAUUAGAAUCUGAUCCACUAUCUGCACCGAAGAAGCCAACAGGAAUAGCUUGUGUGACAGCAGAUUCUUAAUUAGGCCUCUCAUUAAUUGCUGUAGUUUUGCUGGGGAGCACAAAAUCACAUCACAAAGUCCUCUAGAUAACAAAGCCUUGCAACUCUGUCUGAAGUAGGAAAGGUGAGGUUACAGGAGGACAUGAAGCCAAAGGAGGUCGUGGAAUGAGUCAUUCUCCGUCUCAGAUCUGUGAUAGCGGGGAGAACAGAAAACGUGUGUGAUAUCCGCCAGCUGGAUUCCAUCUGUCUUUUCUCUGCGGAGAUGGAGUUUCAAAGGCUACAUCCUAUCUGCUGUCACACCCUCUCCCGACAUGAGAAGCUAAGUGUAAAGUUUGGCCAAAGUGAUGGAAAAAACAAUAUCUCUUUUGUACAUCACAACUAUUUCCCUACCUACACAAAAGUGGCAUUCUUCUUGUUCUGGCAUGCAUGAUGUACUGUUGCACUGUAUCACAACUUUCCUAUUAAAUAAAAGGAGCCUGGCCAAAGGGAUUUCAGAGAAAGUAAGCUUUUUUUUGUUUGUUUGUUCAUUUUUAAGACUCUGUGGAUCUGUGUGAGCGUGCUGGUUUGUCUACCAGAGCCAGUGCAGGGAAAUUAUGAUUGACAGG
ensembl:lncRNA